GGAGCUCACUCUGAAGAGCAAAACUGAUUUUAAAAGGCUGCAGUGUGUCCAAAAUCAAUUACAUUAAUGAAUGAAAAUGUUGUUUGAUCAACCCUGAGGAAGAUGAUGUGAAACCAAUAAAGGGGUCCUGAAAUGUCAUGGAGAUUGGAGCUGAGAAUGCAGUUACCACCUGAAUUCAUCCUGUCCGUACUGUCACAUCUUCCAUGCAGGUUGGUGUGUUUAUGUCCUGAGAGUGAGCAAGUCAAUAGAGGGUGUCACCUGGACAGAGCAUCCGGUCUGUGUUCAGGCCCCUUCAUGUCUGUGCUGAGUCAGUCAUGG